rnacentral:tRNA from 1 species
GGCGGAAUAGCUCAGCUGGUAAGAGCGUUCGGUUCAUACCCGAAAGGUCAACAGUUCAAAUCUGUUUUCCGCUA